UUUGUGAUAAAAUAAAGUUUUAAUUUACUCACUCAAUACACAUAGUUAGUGUUUAUUCAUGGGUUGCUUGUAAAUUAUGAAGGCGGUGGGGUAGCCUAGUGGUUAAA